UAAGCGGGGGAAAAGAAACUAACAAGGAUUCCCCUAGUAGCGGCGAGCGAAGCGGGAAGAGCUCAAAUUUAUAAUCUGGCACCUUCGGUGUCCGAGUUGUAAUCUCUAGAAAUGUUUUCCGCGUUGGACCGCACACAAGUCUGUUGGAAUACAGCGGCAUAGUGGUGAGACCCCCGUAUAUGGUGCGGACGCCCAGCGCUUUGUGAUACAUUUUCGAAGAGUCGAGUUGUUUGGGAAUGCAGCUCAAAUUGGGUGGUAAAUUCCAUCUAAAGCUAAAUAUUGGCGAGAGACCGAUAGCGAACAAGUACCGUGAGGGAAAGAUGAAAAGCACUUUGGAAAGAGAGUUAACAGUACGUGAAAUUGUUGGAAGGGAAACGCUUGAAGUCAGACUUGCUUGCCGAGCAAUCGGUUUGCAGGCCAGCAUCAGUUUUCCGGGAUGGAUAAUGGUAGAGAGAAGGUAGCAGUUUCGGCUGUGUUAUAGCUCUUCUGCUGGAUACAUUUUGGGGGACUGAGGAACGCAGUGUGCCUUUUGGCGGGGGUUUCGACUCUUCACAUUAGGAUGCGGGAAUG
rnacentral:rRNA from 1 species